rnacentral:rRNA from 1 species
AACGAACGCUGGCGGCAUGCCUAACACAUGCAAGUCGAACGAGACCUUCGUGUCUAGUGGCGCACGGGUGCGUAACGCGUGGUAACCUGCCCUUAGGUUCGGAAUAACUCCCCGAAAGGGGUGCUAAUACCGGAUAAUGUCUUCGGACCAAAGAUUUAUCGCCUUUGGAUGGGCCCGCGUUGGAUUAGCUAGUUGGUAGGGUAAAAGCCUACCAAGGCGACGAUCCAUAGCUGGUCUGAGAGGAUGAUCAGCCACACUGGGACUGAGACACGGCCCAGACUCCUACGGGAGGCAGCAGUGGGGAAUAUUGGACAAUGGGCGAAAGCCUGAUCAAGCAAUGCCGCGUGAGUGAUGAAGGCCUUAGGGUUGUAAAGCUCUUUUACCCGGGAUGAUAAUGACAGUACCGGGAGAAUAAGCUCCGGCUAACUACGUG